rnacentral:rRNA from 1 species
AGUGAACGCUGGCGGUAGGCCUAACACAUGCAAGUCGAACGGCAGCACAGUAAGAGCUUGCUCUUACGGGUGGCGAGUGGCGGAAGGGUGAGGAAUAUAUCGGAAUCUACUUUUUCGUGGGGGAUAACGUAGGGAAACUUACGCUAAUACCGCAUACGACCUACGGGUGAAAGCAGGGGAUCUUCGGACCUUGCGCGAUUGAAUGAGCCGAUGUCGGAUUAGCUAGUUGGCGGGGUAAAGGCCCACCAAGGCGACGAUCCGUAGCUGGUCUGAGAGGAUGAUCAGCCACACUGGAACUGAGACACGGUCCAGACUCCUACGGGAGGCAGCAGUGGGGAAUAUUGGACAAUGGGCGCAAGCCUGAUCCAGCCAUACCGCGUGGGUGAAGAAGGCCUUCGGGUUGUAAAGCCCUUUUGUUGGGAAAGAAAAGCAGCAGGUUAAUACCCCGCUGUUCUGACGGUACCCAAAGAAUAAGCACCGGCUAACUUCGUG